AUACGGAGGGGGCUAGCGUUGUUCGGAAUUACGGGGCGUAAAGCGCGCGUAGGCGGAUCGUUAAGUCAGGGGUGAAAGCCCGGAGCUCAACUCCGGAACUGCCCUUGAUACUGGCGAUCUCGAGUCCGGGAGAGGUGAGCGGAAUUCCUAGUGUAGAGGUGAAAUUCGUAGAUAUUAGGAGGAACACCAGUGGCGAAGGCGGCUCACUGGCCCGGUACUGACGCUGAGGUGCGAAAGCGUGGGGAGCAAACAGGAUUAGAAACCCCAGUAGUCC
rnacentral:rRNA from 1 species